GAGCAAGCAUGGCAGAAGGCCAACGUGGAUGAACAUGGAGCUCCUGCCUAAGCUCAAACGCAGUCUUUUGCCAUGUUCAUAGAGCUGCCUUACAGAAUCUCUGCCGCUGUGUGACAGCCCCUGCUGCUGCCGUCUGCAGCCGGAGACAUCCUUUAGGAGGAAGUGGGAGUUUCUCUUAUGCAGGAGUGGCAGCACUGUGCUCUUAAAAUUGCUUGCCGUCUGGUGGCGAUAAAAGCACUGAGCUCUGUGGCUGAGUUCAAAGCUUUGCAUCAGUGGUUGGAGACAGCAGAAGGCAGGCUGCAGCCUGCAGCCACAGGGAGUCGUGCCCUGGAGAUGGGGACACAGCUCAUACCUCAUCAUCGUGGCCAGUGGGCAGUCAGCAGCUCAGCCUGGCCGCAUGGUCUCCAAAGCUGGGAAGGCAAACCGCAGCAAGCAGCUGGGCAAGCAGAAAAUACAACACAGCAAGGCUUCUUUUGACCUCCUUCUCACUCGCAUGCAAAGCUGCCUUUACCAGAAAAGUCCCUGGGACAGCGCUUCUUUGGCAGUAUUCUCUGAAUUCCUUGACAUACAACUGAAGUGCUGAGAAUACUACAAUAGUCAUUCAUCACAGUACAAAAGAAGCCAAGUCCAAGUCGUUACAGAAUGUAUCCAGCAGUUGCACUGGUACUGUUUUCACAAGUACAACAAAAA